rnacentral:rRNA from 1 species
UACGUAGGGUGCGAGCGUUGUCCGGAUUUAUUGGGCGUAAAGGGCUCGUAGGCGGGUUGCCGCGUCCGGGGUGAAAUCCUCCCGCUCAACGGGAGAACGGCCUCGGAUACGGGCGGCCUCGAGGGGGGUAGGGGCAUCUGGAACUGUGAGUGGAGCGGUGAAAUGCGUUGAUAUUCACAGGAACUCCGGUGGCGAAGGCGAGGUGCUGGACCCCAUCUGACGCUGAGGCGCGAAAGCCAGGGGAGCGAACGGG